GAUGAAGAACGCAGCGAAAUGCGAUAAGUAAUGUGAAUUGCAGAAUUCAGUGAAUCAUCGAAUCUUUGAACGCACAUUGCGCCCCUUGGUAUUCCGAGGGGCAUGCCUGUUCGAGCGUCAUUAUAACCCUCAAGCUUAGCUUGGUGUUGGGGCCUGCUGCACUGGCAGCCCUUAAAAUCAGUGGCGGCGCCAUCUGGCUCUAAGCGUAGUAAUUCUUCUCGCUAUGGAGUCCUGGUGGAUGCUUGCCAUCAACCCCCAAUUUUUCUAUGGUUGACCUCGGAUCAGGUAGGGAUACCCGCUGAACUUAAGCAUAUCAAUAAGCGGAGGA
rnacentral:misc_RNA from 1 species